CGGCAAACAAGUCAAAUGAGGAAAAAGCGGCGGCGGCGGCGGCGGCAGCAGGUGAGACGUGUGUGUGCGCUCCCGGCUCUGCUACAUACUGAGUGCUGGGAACAGGUUUCAGAAGAUGGUUGGGAAAGGGAUGUGGCGCGGUGUGUGAUCGGUGCACGAUAUGACGGCGCCAUGUGCUGUUAUCCUUCCUUGCUUUGCUUUGUUACAAGAGCGAAUUCACCCAUUGCGCAAUUUCUGCGGCUUCUGCAUGGAAAAUCCACA